GCCGGGCAUGGUGGCGCAUGCCUGUAAUCCCAGCUACUUGGGAGGCUGAGGCAGGAGAAUUGCUUGAACCUGGGAGGCGGAGAUUGUGGUGAGCCGAGAUCACGCCAUUGUACUCCAGCCUGGGUAACAGAGCAAGACUCUGUCUCAA
rnacentral:SRP_RNA from 1 species